rnacentral:lncRNA from 12 species
GUGGGCACGAGCCCAGCCGGUGGUGUUCCCGGCUCCCCGGGCUGCGUGCGGCCGUUUGCGCGGCUCAUCGCGGAAGCGUCCUCGUCCUCGUCCUCGUCCUCGUCCUCGGGGAGCCUGGAAGCUCAGAAAAAAACAGGCCGCGUUUUAGACUUGACCAUUGACCUAACUGUGCCACGUACGUUGCCAUCCAAGUACUAAAGAGCAAAGCAUCCUGGAGUGAUACCGGGUGACCUGCGGACUCGACCUUUCUGUGCCUGCGUCUUCACUGAUUAAACAAGAGGAUUGAGCUAACACCUCCUUGAGCUCUGAGAGCCUAUGCUUGCAGGCUCUCUAUCUGCGCGGGUCCCUUUGUGAUCAAACUUGGAUCUGUGGUGGAAAACGUGUUUAGCAGGGGAGACGCGCCAUAUGUAUUUCCAAACUGCGACAUCUCCUUGCCUAUGCUUUCCUAUAAAUAGAAAAAUGGGGGGACUCCCUAUUUUUCCAGAGUCCCCCUCCGUCUUUUGCACUGGGAACAGACAUGCUUCAUCACUGACAACAGGUCACAAGGGAUACGAGCCAACAUGUCGAAUCCCGGUGGGGGUCUUUCUUCUGCAUUACUUACCUUGGAGACACUAUGGAGAAGCUGGGAGAGGAACACGAGGGACCAAGAUACACAGAAAACCCCUGGAAAAAAAUCCAGGUAACACUCUAAACUCUACAAGCCAAGUUGGCCCUGAGCCUGCCUCUGUGAGGGCCUCAUAGAAGUUGGGGGGCAAGUGGCAAAGGAGCAGGCGCCUCUGGGCCGACCCCGGUCUCUUCCUUCCUCUAGAGGAUGCAUAUGUUCAGGGGACAAAUCACGAGUGUGGCUUCCAGGAUAAAACAGACUAAACUGUGCUAAUUCCUAAAUCUCAUGUUUCACAAAAUCGCAAUUAAAGCAAAAAGUGGUGUCGCCACCCCUUUAGGGAUGUAACAUCCCCUUGAUGGACUGCUCAGAGACAUUCUACAAGCAAAGCCUCUUAACAGGAAUUUUGUCACAAGGAGCUUGCAUUCUGAUGAGGGGACGAGUGAACCUGAAAACAAUUCUUGAGCCACUUUGAUGCAUGAGACUCCCUGAGAGUCAGUGAGAAGGCUGAGCCGGGGUCACUGAGCCCUCUGUCGUCAGAGGCACAGCCCCUGCCCCUCAGGAUGGUGGGGAAACACCUAGAAAUUCCUUAAAAUGGGGGCACCUGAGUGGCUCAGUGGUUGAGCGUCUGCCUUCAGCCCAGGGCAUGACCCCAGGGUCCCGAGAUCAAGUCCCACAUUGGGCUCCCCGCAGGGAGCCUGCUCCUCCCUUUGCCUGUGUCUGUGUAUCUCUCAUGAAUUAAUAAAAUAUUUAAAAAAAAA